GGGUUGUGAGGUUAAGCGACUAAGCGUACACGGUGGAUGCCCUGGCAGUCAGAGGCGAUGAAGGACGUGCUAAUCUGCGAUAAGCGCCGGUAAGGUGAUAUGAACCGUUAUAACCGGCGAUUUCCGAAUGGGGAAACCCAGUGUGAUUCGUCACACUAUCAUUAACUGAAUCCAUAGGUUAAUGAGGCGAACCGGGGGAACUGAAACAUCUAAGUACCCCGAGGAAAAGAAAUCAACCGAGAUUCCCCCAGUAGCGGCGAGCGAACGGGGAGGAGCCCAGAGCCUGAAUCAGCAUGUGUGUUAGUGGAAGCGUCUGGAAAGGCGCGCGAUACAGGGUGACAGCCCCGUACACAAAAAUGCACAUGCUGUGAGCUCGAUGAGUAGGGCGGGACACGUGGUAUCCUGUCUGAAUAUGGGGGGACCAUCCUCCAAGGCUAAAUACUCCUGACUGACCGAUAGUGAACCAGUACCGUGAGGGAAAGGCGAAAAGAACCCCGGCGAGGGGAGUGAAAAAGAACCUGAAACCGUGUACGUACAAGCAGUGGGAGCCCCACCACUAAGCCAGUGGUGAACUCCACAUACGCAUCCUUUGCUGAGGAUACGGUUAACGGAGCGAAAGCGACGUUCAACCUCAAAAGAAGCAGAGGGGGCUUAGUGGUGGGGUGACUGCGUACCUUUUGUAUAAUGGGUCAGCGACUUAUAUUCUGUAGCAAGGUUAACCGAAUAGGGGAGCCGGAGGGAAACCGAGUCUUAAUUGGGCGUUAAGUUGCAGGGUAUAGACCCGAAACCCGGUGAUCUAGCCAUGGGCAGGUUGAAGGUUGGGUAACACUAACUGGAGGACCGAACCGACUAAUGUUGAAAAAUUAGCGGAUGACCUGUGGCUGGGGGUGAAAGGCCAAUCAAACCGGGAGAUAGCUGGUUCUCCCCGAAAGCUAUUUAGGUAGCGCCUCGUGAAUUCAUCUCCGGGGGUAGAGCACUGUUUCGGCUAGGGGGCCAUCCCGGCUUACCAACCCGAUGCAAACUGCGAAUACCGGAGAAUGUUAUCACGGGAGACACACGGCGGGUGCUAACGUCCGUCGUGAAGAGGGAAACAACCCAGACCGCCAGCUAAGGUCCCAAAGUCAUGGUUAAGUGGGAAACGAUGUGGGAAGGCCCAGACAGCCAGGAUGUUGGCUUAGAAGCAGCCAUCAUUUAAAGAAAGCGUAAUAGCUCACUGGUCGAGUCGGCCUGCGCGGAAGAUGUAACGGGGCUAAACCAUGCACCGAAGCUGCGGCAGCGACACUGUGUGUUGUUGGGUAGGGGAGCGUUCUGUAAGCCUGUGAAGGUGGCCUGUGAGGGUUGCUGGAGGUAUCAGAAGUGCGAAUGCUGACAUAAGUAACGAUAAAGCGGGUGAAAAGCCCGCUCGCCGGAAGACCAAGGGUUCCUGUCCAACGUUAAUCGGGGCAGGGUGAGUCGACCCCUAAGGCGAGGCCGAAAGGCGUAGUCGAUGGGAAACGGGUUAAUAUUCCCGUACUUGGUGUUACUGCGAAGGGGGGACGGAGAAGGCUAUGUUGGCCGGGCGACGGUUGUCCCGGUUUAAGCGUGUAGGCUGGUUUUCCAGGCAAAUCCGGAAAAUCAAGGCUGAGGCGUGACGACGAGGCACUACGGUGCUGAAGCAACAAAUGCCCUGCUUCCAGGAAAAGCCUCUAAGCAUCAGGUAACAUCAAAUCGUACCCCAAACCGACACAGGUGGUCAGGUAGAGAAUACCAAGGCGCUUGAGAGAACUCGGGUGAAGGAACUAGGCAAAAUGGUGCCGUAACUUCGGGAGAAGGCACGCUGACAUGUAGGUGAAGUGAUUUACUCAUGGAGCUGAAGUCAGUCGAAGAUACCAGCUGGCUGCAACUGUUUAUUAAAAACACAGCACUGUGCAAACACGAAAGUGGACGUAUACGGUGUGACGCCUGCCCGGUGCCGGAAGGUUAAUUGAUGGGGUCAGCGCAAGCGAAGCUCCUGAUCGAAGCCCCGGUAAACGGCGGCCGUAACUAUAACGGUCCUAAGGUAGCGAAAUUCCUUGUCGGGUAAGUUCCGACCUGCACGAAUGGCGUAAUGAUGGCCAGGCUGUCUCCACCCGAGACUCAGUGAAAUUGAACUCGCUGUGAAGAUGCAGUGUACCCGCGGCAAGACGGAAAGACCCCGUGAACCUUUACUAUAGCUUGACACUGAACAUUGAGCCUUGAUGUGUAGGAUAGGUGGGAGGCUUUGAAGUGUGGACGCCAGUCUGCAUGGAGCCGACCUUGAAAUACCACCCUUUAAUGUUUGAUGUUCUAACGUGGACCCGUAAUCCGGGUUGCGGACAGUGUCUGGUGGGUAGUUUGACUGGGGCGGUCUCCUCCUAAAGAGUAACGGAGGAGCACGAAGGUUGGCUAAUCCUGGUCGGACAUCAGGAGGUUAGUGCAAUGGCAUAAGCCAGCUUGACUGCGAGCGUGACGGCGCGAGCAGGUGCGAAAGCAGGUCAUAGUGAUCCGGUGGUUCUGAAUGGAAGGGCCAUCGCUCAACGGAUAAAAGGUACUCCGGGGAUAACAGGCUGAUACCGCCCAAGAGUUCAUAUCGACGGCGGUGUUUGGCACCUCGAUGUCGGCUCAUCACAUCCUGGGGCUGAAGUAGGUCCCAAGGGUAUGGCUGUUCGCCAUUUAAAGUGGUACGCGAGCUGGGUUUAGAACGUCGUGAGACAGUUCGGUCCCUAUCUGCCGUGGGCGCUGGAGAACUGAGGGGGGCUGCUCCUAGUACGAGAGGACCGGAGUGGACGCAUCACUGGUGUUCGGGUUGUCAUGCCAAUGGCACUGCCCGGUAGCUAAAUGCGGAAGAGAUAAGUGCUGAAAGCAUCUAAGCACGAAACUUGCCCCGAGAUGAGUUCUCCCUGAGACUUAGAGUCUCCUGAAGGAACGUUGAAGACGACGACGUUGAUAGGCCGGGUGUGUAAGCGCAGCGAUGCGUUGAGCUAACCGGUACUAAUGAACCGUGAGGCUUAACCUUACAACGCCGAAG
rnacentral:rRNA from 2 species